ACAGGGCAACUUUGAUCUGACAGUGUACAGCAUUUCCAUCUCAGUUUCUCUGAAUUUUGGGAAGGACCAGUCUGGAAGACCCACUGCCUCUGUGGCCCAGUGCAGCAACUCCAUUGGCCGUGUCAGGGUUCACAUUUCUGGAAGCUUAAGCUGGAUCCUAAACCUCUCCCAUGAAGGAAUUGAAAACAAUAUCAAAAGAAUAUUGCAACAAAAGAUCUGUGAGAUGAUCAGGCAGUCCACCACUUCUUACCUGGAGCCCUAUCUCAGAACUCUACCAG